rnacentral:rRNA from 1 species
GGGAAUAUUGGACAAUGGGCGAAAGCCUGAUCCAGCCAUGCCGCGUGUGUGAAGAAGGUCUUCGGAUUGUAAAGCACUUUAAGUUGGGAGGAAGGGCAGUAAGUUAAUACCUUGCUGUUUUGACGUUACCAACAGAAUAAGCACCGGCUAACUUCGUGCCAGCAGCCGCGGUAAUACGAAGGGUGCAAGCGUUAAUCGGAAUUACUGGGCGUAAAGCGCGCGUAGGUGGUUCGUUAAGUUGGAUGUGAAAGCCCCGGGCUCAACCUGGGAACUGCAUCCAAAACUGGCGAGCUAGAGUAUGGCAGAGGGUGGUGGAAUUUCCUGUGUAGCGGUGAAAUGCGUAGAUAUAGGAAGGAACACCAGUGGCGAAGGCGACCACCUGGGCUAAUACUGACACUGAGGUGCGAAAGCGU